rnacentral:rRNA from 1 species
UUUGAUCCUGGCUCAGGACGAACGCUGGCGGCGUGCCUAAUACAUGCAAGUCGAGCGGACAAUUGAGAGCUUGCUCUCAAUUGUUAGCGGCGGACGGGUGAGUAACACGUGGGCAACCUGCCCUGUAGACUGGGAUAACUUCGGGAAACCGAAGCUAAUACCGGAUAAUCUUUUGCGCCUCAUGGCGCGAAAGUAAAAGUUGGGUUUUACCUAACACUACAGGAUGGGCCCGCGGCGCAUUAGCUAGUUGGUAAGGUAAUGGCUUACCAAGGCGACGAUGCGUAGCCGACCUGAGAGGGUGAUCGGCCACACUGGGACUGAGACACGGCCCAGACUCCUACGGGAGGCAGCAGUAGGGAAUCUUCCGCAAUGGACGAAAGUCUGACGGAGCAACGCCGCGUGAACGAUGAAGGCCUUCGGGUCGUAAAGUUCUGUUGUUAGGGAAGAACAAGUACCGUUCGAAUAGGGCGGUACCUUGACGGUACCUAACCAGAAAGCCACGGCUAACUACGUGCCAGCAGCCGCGGUAAUACGUAGGUGGCAAGCGUUGUCCGGAAUUAUUGGGCGUAAAGCGCGCGCAGGCGGUCUCUUAAGUCUGAUGUGAAGGCCCACGGCUCAACCGUGGAGGGUCAUUGGAAACUGGGAGACUUGAGUGCAGAAGAGGAGAGUGGAAAUUCCAUGUGUAGCGGUGAAAUGCGUAGAUAUAUGGAGGAACACCAGUGGCGAACGCGACUCUCUGGUCUGUAACUGACGCUGAGGCGCGAAAGCGUGGGGGAGCAAACAGGAUUAGAUACCCUGGUAGUCCACGCCGUAAACGAUGAGUGCUAGGUGUUAGGGGUUUCGAUGCCUUAGUGCCGAAGUUACACAUAGCCACUCCGCCUGGGGGGAGUACG